rnacentral:rRNA from 1 species
GAUCAUGGCUCAGGACGAACGCUGGCGGCGUGCCUAACACAUGCAAGUCGAACGGAGAUAUUUAUUUCGGUAGAUAUCUUAGUGGCGCACGGGUGAGUAACGCGUGAAUAACCUGACCCGAAGAGGGGGAUAACACCUGGAAACAAGUGCUAAUACCGCAUAAGACCACGGACCGGCAUCGGUCAGAGGUCAAAGGAGAAAUACCGCUUUGGUAGGGGGUUCGGGUCGUCCCACCUUAGUUAGGUUGGUUGGUAGGUAACGGGACCCGACCCAACG